rnacentral:rRNA from 1 species
AUUGAACGCUGGCGGCAGGCUUAACACAUGCAAGUCGAGCGAGCGGCGGACGGGUGAGUAAUGUCUGGGAACAUGCCUGAUGGAGGGGGAUAACUACUGGAAACGGUAGCUAAUACCGCAUACCAUCAGAUGUGCCCAGAUGGGAUUAGCUCGUAGGUGGGGUAAUGGCUCACCUAGGCGACGAUCCAUAGCUGGUCUGAGAGGAUGACCAGCCACACUGGGACUGAGACACGGUCCAGACUCAGACGGGAGGCAGCAGUGGGGAAUAUUGAACAAUGGGGGAAAUCCUGAUGCAGCCAUGCCGCUUGUGUGAAGAAGGCCUUCGGGUUGUAAAGCACUUUCAGCGAGGAGGCGUUACUCGCAGAAGAAGCACCGGCUAACUCCGUGCCAGCAGCCGCGGUAAUUC